CGCGUGGGUAAUCUACCUCCGAGUGGGGAACAACACCGGGAAACUGGUGCUAAUACCGCAUGACAUCCCAGGGUCUUCGGAUCUUGGGAUCAAAGCCGGGGACCGCAAGGCCUGGCGCUUGGAGAUGAGCCCGCGUCCGAUUAGCUAGUUGGCGGGGUAAUGGCCCACCAAGGCUCCGAUCGGUAGCCGGCCUGAGAGGGCGGACGGCCACACUGGGACUGAGACACGGGCCCAGACUCCUACGGGAGGCAGCAGUGGGGAAUUUUUCGCAAUGGGGGAAACCCUGACGAAGCAACGCCG
rnacentral:rRNA from 1 species